rnacentral:rRNA from 1 species
UACGUAGGUGACCAGCGUUGUCCGGAUUUACUGGGCGUAAAGAGCGCGCAGGCGGUCGUUCAAGUCGAGUGUGAAAGCCCCCGGCUCAACUGGGGAGGGUCAUUCGAUACUGAUCGACUGGAAGGCAGGAGAGGGAAGCGGAAUUCCCGGUGUAGUGGUGAAAUGCGUAGAUAUCGGGAGGAACACCAGUGGCGAAGGCGGCUUCCUGGCCUGUUCUUGACGCUGAGGCGCGAAAGCGUGGGGAGCGAACAGG